rnacentral:rRNA from 1 species
GACGAACCGUGCGAACGUUAUUCGGAAUCACUGGCUUAAAGCGCGUGUAGGCGGGGUGGCACGUCCGUCGCUGAAAUCCCCCGGCUCAACCGGGGAACGGGCGCGGAUACGACCAUCCUGGAGGGACGUAGGGGGACCUGGAACUUCCGGUGGAGCGGUGAAAUGCGUUGAGAUCGGAAGGAACGCCCGUGGCGAAAGCGAGCCCCUGGACGUCUACUGACGCUGAGACGCGAAAGCCAGGGGAGCCGAACGGGG